rnacentral:rRNA from 1 species
UAUCUCUGUAGAGUCUGCAUAUCAAUAAGCGGAGGAAAAGAAACUAACUAGGAUUCCCUCAGUAACGGCGAGUGAAGCGGGAAGAGCUCAAAUUUGAAAUCUUCAAGGUUCUACCUUGACGAAUUGUAGUUUAAAGAAGUGUUUUCUGUUGGAGUUUUGGUAAAAGUUCUUUGGAAUAGGACAUCAUAGAGGGUGAGAAUCCCGUAUUUGACCAUUACUUUCCAACUUUGUGAUACACUUUCAAAGAGUCGGAUUGUUUGGGAAUGCAGUCCAAAAUGGGUGGUAAAUUUCAUCUAAAGCUAAAUAUUGGCGAGAGACCGAUAGCGAACAAGUACCUGUGAGGGAAAGAUGAAAAGAACUUUGAAAAGAGAGUUAAACAGUACGUGAAAUUGUCAAAAGGGAAGCGUUUGACACCAGUGUUGUUUUCUCGAAAAUCAAUUAAAAAAGGCAGAAUUUUGUGUUGUAUUGACUUUAUCAGCUUUCUGCACUCUUUUCUUGUCUUUUUUAAUGCACUUUUCGUUUAACAAGUCAACAUCAAUUUCUUUUGUUGUAAAAGGGUCAUUGGAAGGUGGCUUUCUUUUCGGAGAAAGUGUUUAUAGCCUUUGGCCUCUGCAAUCGGAGAGAUUGAGGUCUGCAGCGUAGAUCCUUCGGGGUUAGAUACAUUUGUGCUAAGUUAUAGCCUUUCAUAGACAACUUGUUGACUAUGAUCAGUCAUGUAGCUUACUCGCUUAUGCUAUUUUACCUACGCUUAGGAUGUUGACGAUCAGCUGAGCGCG